UCUGGAAAACAAAGUGGAGCAUUGAGCAGCUACAGAGUCAGAUAUUUCCCCCAGGAGUGGGUGGCUGAAAGAAAGUGA